rnacentral:tRNA from 1 species
GCGGUUGUGGUGGAAUUGGUAGACACGCUAGCUUGAGGGGCUAGUGGCCGCAAGGUCGUGGGAGUUCGAGUCUCCCCAACCGCA